CUGAUGAGAGUAAAUAUCUGGAAAUAUAUAUCCUUUAUAGGGAAUCGCCCUAAGCCUCUAUAUCCAACUCUGAGACCACAACCAGGAGGCCAUGGAAACAGAGAUGAUUAUUUCGAUUUAGGAGAUGCCCUUGGUGGUAAUGAUGAUCACCCAAAACCUCAGCCAUAUCCACGUCCUCCAUCACGACCAGGAAGCCACGGUGAUUCUGGUAGUUUUAGCGACCUGGAUCUUAAUGAUGGGAAACCUCUACCUCCAAGAGCCCCAGAUGGGAAUGAAUACAGUUCAGCUAAUGGAGGACAUACUGCUGAUGCUACUAAGACAGCUCAGAUAACAUCCCCUGUUGUGUCUAUACUUGUGGUGUGUGCGGUUGGGGGACUAGUUGCCUAUAAUGCUUACAAGAAGAAGAGAUACUGUUUUAAACCAAGAGGUGAAACAGCUGCCUAAACUAUAAGGCAAGAAAGAGACCCAGAUUCUAAUGGUGUAUGUUAUAUUUUGUGCGAUAUGAAAUGUUCCUUGGGUGCAACUUGAAAAACAAUAAGCCUUUCAAAACCAAACCAAUUAAUCAUACAUAGUGUUGAAGGAGUUCUCCAUUAGCAUAACACAGAAUGUUUCAGAUUCAAGAUCUGUUUAAUCUUAUGUAUUCUGUUUAUGUAUGGGUAAACUGAAUUUGCUUACUUAGUUUGUAUCUAUUGAUAUUUU